GACGAACGCUGGCGGCGUGCUUAACACAUGCAAGUCGAACGGAAAGGCCCUGCUUUUGUGGGGUGCUCGAGUGGCGCACGGGUGUGUAACACGUGAGUAACCUGCCCUUGACUUUGGGAUAACUUCAGGAAACUGGGGCUAAUACCGGAUAGGAGCUCCUGCUGCAUGGUGGGGUUGGAAAGUUUCGGCGGUUGUGGAUGGACUCGCGGCUUAUCAGCUUGUUGGUGGGGUAGUGGCUUACCAAGGCUUUGACGGGUAGCCGGCCUGAGAGGGUGUCCGGCCACAUUGGGACUGAGAUACGGCCCAGACUCCUACGGGAGGCAGCAGUGGGGAAUAUUGCACAAUGGGCGGAAGCGUGAUGCAGCAACGCCGCGUGCGGGAUGACGGCCUACGGGUUGUAAACAGCUGUCGACUGUGACGAAGAGUGAGUGACGGUAAUGGGUAAAGAAGCACCGGCUAACUACGUG
rnacentral:rRNA from 1 species